rnacentral:pre_miRNA from 1 species
AUCACCUGGGGAUCUUGUUGAAAUGUAGACUCAGAUUGAGUAGGUCUGAUGGGGGCCUGCAUUCUGCAUUUCUAACAAGCUCCUGGGUGAUGCUGA